rnacentral:rRNA from 1 species
GGGGAAUAUUGGACAAUGGGCGAAAGCCUGAUCCAGCCAUGCCGCGUGAGUGAUGAAGGCCUUAGGGUUGUAAAGCUCUUUUAGUGGGGACGAUAAUGACGGUACCCACAGAAAAGCCCCGGCUAACUUCGUGCCAGCAGCCGCGGUAAUACGAAGGGGGCUAGCGUUGUUCGGAUUUACUGGGCGUAAAGCGCACGUAGGCGGAUCGUUAAGUCGGGGGUGAAAUCCUGGAGCUCAACUCCAGAACUGCCUUCGAUACUGGCGAUCUUGAGUCCGGAAGAGGUGAGUGGAACUCCUAGUGUAGAGGUGGAAUUCGUAGAUAUUAGGAAGAACACCAGUGGCGAAGGCGGCUCACUGGUCCGGUACUGACGCUGAGGUGCGAAAGCGUGGGGUGCAAAC